CCUACGGGGGGCAGCAGUGGGGAAUAUUGGACAAUGGGGGCAACCCUGAUCCAGCCAUGCCGCGUGUGUGAAGAAGGCCCUCGGGUUGUAAAGCACUUUCAGUGAGGAAGAACGCCUGGUGGUUAAUACCCAUCAGGAAAGACAUCACUCACAGAAGAAGCACCGGCUAACUCCGUGCCAGCAGCCGCGGUAAUACGGAGGGUGCGAGCGUUAAUCGGAAUUACUGGGCGUAAAGCGCGCGUAGGUGGCUUGAUAAGCCGGUUGUGAAAGCCCCGGGCUCAACCUGGGAACGGCAUCCGGAACUGUCAAGCUAGAGUGUAGGAGAGGAAGGUAGAAUUCCCGGUGUAGCGGUGAAAUGCGUAGAGAUCGGGAGGAAUACCAGUGGCGAAGGCGGCCUUCUGGACUGACACUGACACUGAGGUGCGAAAGCGUGGGUAGCAAACAGGAUUAGAUACCCGAGUAGUC
rnacentral:rRNA from 1 species